UACGUAGGGUGCGAGCGUUGUCCGGAAUUAUUGGGCGUAAAGGGCUUGUAGGUGGCGUGUCGCGUCUGUCGUGAAAUGCUUCGGCUUAACCGGGGCAGUGCGGUGGGUACGGGCAUGCUUGAGUGUGGUAGGGGAGAUUGGAAUUCCUGGUGUAGCGGUGGAAUGCGCAGAUGUCAGGAGGAACACCGGUGGCGAAGGCGGAUCUCUGGGCCAUUACUGACACUGAGGAGCGAAAGCGUGGGGAGCGAACAGGAUUAGAUACCCG
rnacentral:rRNA from 1 species